CCGCCGGCGACCGGCGCACGGGUGAGUAACACGUAUGCAACCUGGCCGUGACAGAUGGAUAACCGGGAGAAAUCCCGCCUAAUACAACAUAAUGCCGGGAGGGGACAUCCCCUGCCGGCCAAAGGGGGCGACCCCCGGUCACGGAUGGGCAUGCGGCGCAUUAGGUAGUUGGUGGGGCAACGGCCCACCAAGCCGACGAUGCGUAGGGGUUCUGAGAGGAAGGUCCCCCACAUUGGAACUGAGACACGGUCCAAACUCCUACGGAAGGCAGCAG
rnacentral:rRNA from 1 species